UACAGAGGUGGCAAGCGUUGUUCGGAUUUACUGGGCGUAAAGGGUGCGUAGGCGGUUCUGUGUGUCGGAUGUGAAAUCCCACGGAUCAUCUGUGGAACGGCAUUCGAAACUGCAGGGCUUGAGUGCAGGAGAGGAAAGCGGAAUUCUCGGUGUAGCGGUGAAAUGCGUUGAUAUCGAGAGGAACGCCGGUGGCGAAGGCAGCUUUCUGGAAUGCAACUGACGCUGAGGCACGAAAGCCAGGGGAGCAAACAGG
rnacentral:rRNA from 1 species